rnacentral:rRNA from 1 species
CUGUCUCACUUACUUUUAAUUUUAAAUUAUUUAAAGGGUGAAAAUACCCUUAAGUUAAUUAAAUAGACGAGAAGACCCUUAGAGUUAUAAUAAAAGAAAAAGCAACAACUUUUCUAAAUUUUUGUUGGGGCAACAAAGUACUAUACUUUUUAAAACUACUUUAUUUAACAUAAACCACAUACCUAACAUAUUAAUAUAGACCUAACUACCUAAGGGAUAACAGCAUAAUUUUUUAGUAAGUUUGUGACCUCGAUGUUGGACUAG